rnacentral:rRNA from 1 species
AUACGGAGGGUGCGAGCGUUGUUCGGAAUUACUGGGCGUAAAGGGCGUGCAGGCGGAAUAGUAAGUCGGAUGUGAAAGCCCUGGGCUCAACCUGGGAACUGCAUUCGAUACUGUCAGGCUAGAGUAUAGUAGAGGGAAGUGGAAUUCCGGGUGUAGCGGUGAAAUGCGUAGAUAUCGGGAGGAACACCAGUGGCGAAGGCGGCUCUCUGGACUGACACUGACGCUGAGGUGCGAAAGCGCGGGUAGCAAACAGGAUUAGAAACCCCGGUAGUCC